UGAGCAAUCUGCCCUUCUCAUCGGAAUAAGCGUUGGAAACGACGUCUAAUGCCGAAUACGACCUCCUUUCGCAUGAUCGGAGGUGGAAAGCUCCGGCGGAGAAGGAUGAGCUCGCGGUCUAUCAGCUAGUUGGUGUGGGUAAUGGCUCACCAAGGCGACGACGGGUAGCCGGCCUGAGAGGGCGACCGGCCACACUGGGACUGAGACACGGCCCAGACUCCUAGGGAGG
rnacentral:rRNA from 1 species